CCUACGGGUGGCUGCAGUAGGGAAUAUUGGACAAUGGGCGCAAGCCUGAUCCAGCCAUCCCGCGUGAAGGAUUAAGGCCCUCUGGGUUGUAAACUUCUUUUCUUUGGGAAUAAAAACUCCGAUUCAUCGGAGCUUGAAGGUACCAGAGGAAUAAGCACCGGCUAACUCCGUGCCAGCAGCCGCGGUAAUACGGAGGGUGCCAGCGUCACCGGGAUUCACGGGGUUUAAAGGGUGUGUGGAUGGCUGUGGAGAAAGCCCGGAGCUCAACUCCGGAACUGCCAUUGAUACUGCUUAGCUUGAAUCAGGUCGAGGUGGAUGGAAUAUUACAUGUAGCGGUGAAAUGCUUAGAUAUGUAAUAGAACACCGAUUGCGAAGGCAGUUCACUAGGCCUGUAUUGACACUGAGGCACGAAAGCGUGGGGAUCAAACAGGAUUAGAUACCCCUGUAGUC
rnacentral:rRNA from 1 species